UUUGACCUCGGAUCAGGUAGGGAUACCCGCUGAACUUAAGCAUAUCAAUAAGCGGAGGAAAAGAAACCAACAGGGAUUGCCUCAGUAACGGCGAGUGAAGCGGCAACAGCUCAAAUUUGAAACCUGCCAACCGGCCGGAUUGUAAUUUGCAGAGGAUGCUUUGGGAAAGGUACUGAUCUAAGUUUCUUGGAACAGAACGUCACAGAGGGUGAGAAUCCCGUCCGUGGUCGGCCGCCUGCCCCGUGUAAAGCUCCUUCGACGAGUCGAGUUGUUUGGGAAUGCAGCUCUAAAUGGGUGGUAAAUUUCAUCUAAAGCUAAAUAUUGGCCAGAGACCGAUAGCGCACAAGUAGAGUGAUCGAAAGAUGAAAAGCACUUUGGAAAGAGAGUUAAACAGCACGUGAAAUUGUUGAAAGGGAAGCGCUUGCAAUCAGACUUGGGCGCGGGUACUCAGGGACGGUUCGCCGUUCUGUAUUUGCCCGCGCACAGGCCAGCAUCAGUUUUGGGGGUGGGAUAAAGGCCGUAGGAAUGUGGCUCUUCGGAGUGUUAUAGCCUACGGUGCCAUGCCACCUCCCGGGACUGAGGACCGCGCUUCGGCUAGGAUGCUGGCGUAAUGAUUGUAAGCGAC
rnacentral:rRNA from 1 species